rnacentral:lncRNA from 1 species
AAAUAUAAUACAUGGUGGGUUCUACAAAGAUGUCUUUCAAAUAUGCUUAUAUAUAAAGGGCUCUUAUUGGAGAAUUAUUAAAUUAAAAUUAAAAUUAAGAAGAUGUGAUUAUCAAAAUUUCAAAUAAUGCAUCUUUUAAAUGACGAGCAUAGUACUUGUCCGUUCAUUUUUCCAAACGAGGUGUUAGUAGCAAUAUGCACUCGAGGACGAAUUUUGAGGCAGUAGGCUUAAGCUUGGGAUCUAGGUAGAGGCAGGACAGCCUUUGAGAUUUUGAGAACCCUAUGAGAAAUUUAAACUGAAACCCUCACAUUAUCUAAUAUAAAAAUACUAAAAAAAUAUGUCAUGAAUUGAUGCCAUUGUUGUAAAAUAACUGGGAUAUGUGCGAAUAUUGAGCUGCACGUAAAGUAGAUGAGACACAGUAUUUAACGAGGUUCGGCUAUGCCUACGUCCCCGGAGAGCAGCAGUAGUAACUUUUCCACUAUGUAAAAUAAUAGGGCUACAACUUUAGUGUUUACAAUAUAUGUGGCUCACUAAUUUUUCUCUCUUGGAGAAAUUUCUCUCCACUCUAUUUUUCUCUCUACUUACUCACGCUCUUUCUUCCUUCUCUUCCUUUCUUUCUUUCCUCACUCUUUCUUCUCUUCAUUUGGUGUAUCUUACAAGUGAAUGAGCAAGCCUAUUUAUAGGCAAAGUAAAAGGCUUCUAAUGGAGACAUAAUGAUUUCUCCCCAACAUCAUUAUCCCAUCUUUUGACUAAUACCUACUAGCUUUAUCUCCACUAAUUCCCACCUAAUUUUACCUAUGUGGGCUUCAUUUAUUUUAUAACACUCCCCCUUGAAGACCACAUGUGAUAUGUUAGUUGCAUCAUUAAAGACUUGCUUGGAGAAAACCUAGUGAGGUAGAAAACUGAUGGAAGAAAGAGUACAACAAUUUGUAUAGCAUACUUCUGGAUGCUCCCCCUGAUUAAUAUCUCCUCCUGAUGUCUUCAUGACUAUCUUUUGGAGUGAGAAUCUUUCGGAGUGAGUGGAGGAUGUAGCCAUUAACAAUUCUCGUAGUUGAGUAAGUAAAUAUAUUUCCAGUGAGCUAUCUCUAUGUAAAUCAUAGAAAUUUUCAGAGUCCGUGUUUUCAACAAAACUUGGGCUAUUUGCAAGUUCACUUGAGAGAAUAUGCCCGUACAUGGUGUUAUGCGGAGAUAGCAUCAAAUAUACCUCACAUCAUCCCAAAAUGAUGGUGAUGGAGUUGAGCCAUAUCUGGAAAAUAUGAUGUCCGG